AAAGAUGUUUAUGGUGAGGUGGGACAGACACUGAAACAGGCCCAUCUGGGAGCAAUGUCCUAACAAGCUGUGCAAAAGAUUAACAUGCAGACGGCCUUUCUGGGAUAUCAGGCGUUCCUGCCUGUUUUUCUUCUAGGCUUUCUUUUUGGGGGUAUAGAGAAAUAAAGACAAUGAAAACACCGAAAGGAAGGAAUACAGUAGCUUGUAAGUUACAUGGAAAACAACAGCUAAUGGGAUCCAUCUUGUCAACAAAGAAAGGCUGGAACUGGAGAUUUAUCACAAGAAGUUUUCACUUUUCAUGAACAAGGAUUAUGACUGAAGACAGCAGAGGAAUAUAAACAAAGCUGGAAGAAGACUGUUGUGCUGUGUGAAGAGUAAUGUUUGGAUGGGAGCGAGCAGAUAGGGGUCACCUAGUAUCAGCUGUGAGCUGAGAUCAUAUUAUGAAAACACUAGAGCAGUGUUCCUUCUUCCACGUAUUAACCUUGCCUUCUGAAAUCUAGCCUUAAAAAAAAAAAAAAGAAGGUAGUCAGAGGAUGAAGUUGGUUGUGCGGCUGUGGAAGAAACCAAAGCAGAGACAAUAAAUCCUGAUGUUUCUUCCUCA
rnacentral:lncRNA from 1 species